UACAGAGGUCUCAAGGCGUUGUUUCGGAUUCAUUGGCGUAAAGGGCGCGUAGGCGGCGGGGUAAGUCGGGUGUGAAAUCUCAGAGCUCAACUCUGAAAUGGCACUUGAUACUGCUCUGCUAGAGGACUGGAGAGGAGAUUGGAAUUCACGGUGUAGCAGUGGAAAAUGCGUAGAUAUCGUGAGGAAGACCGGUGGCGAAGGCGGAUCUCUGGACAGUUCCGUGACGCUGAGGCGCGAAGGCCAGGGGAGCAAACGGG
rnacentral:rRNA from 1 species